ensembl:lncRNA
AAGAGAGGCAGCGUCCAUGUGGAGACGGGCCCAGCCUCCUCCUCCUCCAAGAGACGCUGCUCUUCCCACCCCAGCACCUGGCCGCACCAGCAGGUCUCAGACGGUUCUGGAGUCCGAGGGGGCGGGGAGGAGGAGGGGGAGGAGGAGGUCUGUGUUCUCCUGGUGGAGGAGCUGAGCCGGCAGGAGGAGGCGCUGUUCGGCCGCCGUCAGCAGGAGGAGCAGGACCGUCUGGUGGCUGAGCUCCUCCAGAAGGAGCUGAACAAGGAGGAGCAGCGGGCCUUCACCGACCGCAGCAAAGGCUCCGCUGACCCUUACCAGCUGCGCCGCAAAGCCAGAACCCCCAGCAGAACCUCCUCCUCCUCCUCCUCCUCCAAACGAAAUGAGGUGGGAGCAGAGCGAAGGGCUACUCCUAACAGACAGACGGCCAGCAGCUCAAGCUCCGGCCCCGCCCCUCACCUGCCAGGGGCCAAUAAGCAGGCCUCACUAAAGGAUAUGUUCCGACGCCUCUCCAACUGAGAUCGGGACCAUCGGACCUUAGUUUCUCCCCCCACGCUUCCUCCCUGCUAACAUUCAUUGCCAAGUACGUUAGCAUCAUUACACUGCUCGUAGCGUACAGUAUACUGUAUGUUGGCAUCCUAACACUGCUUCUAGCGCACAGUAUGCUGUAUGUUAGCAUCCUAACACUGCUUCUAGCGCACAGUAUGCUGUAUGUUAGCAUCAUUACACUGCUUGUAGCGCACAGUAUGCUGUAUGUUAGCAUCCUAACACUGCUUCUAGCGCACAGUAUGCUGUAUGUUAGCAUCCUAACACUGCUUGUAGCGCACAGUAUGCUGUAUGUUAGCAUCCUAACACUGCUUGUAGCGCACAGUAUGCUGUAUGUUAGCAUCCUAACGCUUCUUGUUGCUGACAGUUUGUUAGCAUAGCAUCAUAAUGCUGCUUGUUGCGUCAGGUUUACAGUACGUUAGCAUCAUAAUGCUGCUUGUUGCGUCAGGUUUAACGUUUACAGUUCACAGCAUGUGAUUGCGAGACUGAUAUGAGGGAGUUGACCUGACUGCGAUAAGGUUUGCAUCAGCAGUUCCUCUAAAUGUUGCAGUUAUUCUGGAAAUAAACUGCCCACUGGUAGCUGUUAUGUCUUGGUCUGGUUUGUUACAGGAACUCACUGGACACCGGCUCAGAUCAGGCCUGGAACUAUUGUCCGUUAACUACCGCUCUCUCCUUAUUCCCCCCUCAAACAAUGUAGGACAAUCCGUCCCAGUCAGUUGGAGGAAAUAACCAAUCAGCACGAGAGUCUGAGUCAUCUGAGAAGCUGAAGAACAGCAAAGCAGCAUAUAUAUUGGGGGUGUGACGACAUGGCCGUUUUUGGUCCAUACCCAAACUUUAUAAAAAAUGAGUAAAUGACAUUUGACAUUGUUAUGAAGAUGCUGCUUUAUAUGAAGAAAAUGUAUGUAAUAAUGUGUAAUUAAAAUAUGAAUCAAUCGUGUUUACACAAUUUCUUGGUUUAAUCUUGAAUAAAU